CUUGAACGCUAGCGGGGUGCUUUACACAUGCAAGUCGAACGCGUGGCGGACGUGUGUGACAUAUAUCUGAACGUGCCCAGUAGCGGGGGAUAACUACUCGAAAGAGUGGCUAAUACCGCAUACUAUUGGAUCAGCCGAUAAUGGAUUAGCUAGUUGGUGGGGGAAAGGCUCACCAAGGCAACGAUCCGUAGCUGGUUUGAGAGGAUGACCAGCCACACUGGGACUGAGACACGGCCCAGACUCCUACGGGAGGCAGCAGUGGGGAAUGUUGGACAAUGGGGGAAACCCUGAUCCAGCCAUCCCGCGUGUAUGAGAAGGCCUUCGGGUUGUAAAGUACUUUUGGCAGAGAAGCGGUAUCUGCAGAAUAAGCACCGGCUAACUACGUGCCAGCAGCCGCGGUAAUAC
rnacentral:rRNA from 1 species